AAGUCGUAACAAGGUUUCCGUAGGUGAACCUGCGGAAGGAUCAUUACUGAGUUUUGAACGGGUUGUAGCUGGCCUUGUAACAAAGGCAUGUGCACGCCUGGCUCAUCCACUCUUAACCCCUGUGCACCACAUGUAGGAACGAACGGCGAAAGUCCUUAGUUCUUAUGUUUAUUACAAACGCUUCAGUUUUAGAAUGUUUACUGUGUAUAACACAAAUAUACAACUUUCAGCAACGGAUCUCUUGGCUCUC
rnacentral:misc_RNA from 1 species